UCACUAAAAAAUAAGGGUAACCGUUAGUGAAAAGUACAGUGAUGGAACAAAUAAGACAAAUACUUAUGAUUAGAAAGCAAAGUUUAAACAGGUACC
rnacentral:rRNA from 1 species